AGAGUUUGAUCCUGGCUCAGGACGAACGCUGGCGGCGUGCCUAACACAUGCAAGUCGAGCAGAGACAGUGAGUAGCUUGCUAUGAGCUGUUUUAGCGGCGGACGGGUGAGUAACGCGUGAGCAACCUUUCCCGAGACAGGGGAAUAACACACCGAAAGGUGUACUAAUACCGCAUAAGACCACGGGAUCACAUGGUUACUGGGGUAAAAGAUUUAUCGGUUUGGGGUGGGCUCGCGUCCGAUUAGGUAGUUGGUGAGG
rnacentral:rRNA from 1 species